rnacentral:lncRNA from 1 species
GCUGGCCUCAGUAAUUUACAUUUCAUAUCUGUCUCUCCAGGGUUGCUGUGAGUUCUGCAGCCUGUAUUGCUCCUUCACCACAUAUUUCAUGUUAAGCUCCUUCUGGAAACCCAAUUCAUUCUGCGAAACUCAGGUAUCUCCCCUCCCAGAAGUGCAGUCAGCCAAUGCGUGGUCCCAGCACCAGCAGUCCCUUGGUCUGCCUCAGUGUUCCUCGUAACAAACUGCAAAGGGUCAGAUGCGGGUGGAGAAGCCUCAUCACGCCUUAAAGGAAGCAAUAAGCAGCUUGGCCAAGGUCAAAGAACACAACCUUAUUCAAACCUAGAGUCCUGAGCCUCAAACUCAAGUGCAACCCACUGCAUCCCACACUACAAAUGAGGAGCUCAUGUAUUCAUCUGAAAAGUGUAGUAUUUUCUGGAGUGCAGCGAGGCAGGUGGUUGCCCAUGAUCCCCGCAGAACAGAGGUAUGUGAUGGCAUGAUGCCUAGUGGGUGCUGUAUUUAAUAGGCACUAUGGGAUGAGGGCUCAGUCCCCAUGAUAUGAACAAUCUCAUGACUGUCGUGCUGGGAGCUGGAGGAGAGCUCAGAGGCCGUAGAGCAUAGCAUGCCAGGGGCUCCUGCAGAAGGGAGCAUUAAUACAGGGUUAAAAUCCUGAUAAAUUUUAACUCAAGGGGAAAAAUAUCACUUGACUCUUCCCUUACCCCCAGCAGACUCAGCCUGAUGCCUAUUAAAUACCUAUUCUGUAAUUGCAGUUUAUGUUGCCGACUUAAAUGCCUUCUGUUAUCUGAUUUACAUGAUUGAGCCAUUCAUUCUUCCCUUUUCCACCUAUUCCCUUGCGCUCCAGAGCACCAGUAAAUAGCCUGCAAGCCUCACUGGAGGGAUGGCUGCAGCCCAUAGCAAAACAGCCCCGUGUCUGUAAGAGGCCUGAACGUGCUCAGUGGCCUGCAGUGAAACCUGGGCCUGAGGAGCCCAGCUCCUCCUGAAGCCAAAGUUCAACGUCAUGGAAAACUUUGCUGAGGUGUGCUGACAAAGGAAUCCUGUCCCCACACCUUGGCUGUGCCUCAGGAGGCACGGAGGUCCGAUGGGCAGUGGCACAGUCUCUCGCACAAAGCAGCAAGGGGGCUGGAAAGCUCCUUUUACAGUCCAAACGGAUGUUUCCCCAGGCUCAUAAAAUACACAGUUUAAGUAGUAGCUAUAUUUCUGAGGCUGGUCCCACACCUGCAACAACGUUGUAAAUGGCGCUGGGAUAUAUGGCUUUAAGACUCCUUGUAAAACGCAAGAUCAACACAAGAUUUACACAGUUUUAUGGAAUUGUUUUAUAAGCUAUUUUGACAAU